AGAGUUUGAUCCUGGCUCAGAUUGAACGCUGGCGGCAUGCCUUACACAUGCAAGUCGAACGGCAGCACGGGAGCAAUCCUGGUGGCGAGUGGCGAACGGGUGAGUAAUGUAUCGGAACGUACCUUACAGUGGGGGAUAACGUAGCGAAAGUUACGCUAAUACCGCAUAUUCUCUGAGGAGGAAAGCAGGGGACCUUAGGGCCUUGCGCUGUUAGAGCGGCCGAUAUCAGAUUAGCUAGUUGGUGGGGUAAAAGCUCACCAAGGCGACGAUCUGUAGCGGGUCUGAGAGGAUGAUCCGCCACACUGGAACUGAGACACGGUCCAGACUCCUACGGGAG
rnacentral:rRNA from 1 species